GCACCAAUGUUGAAUAAAGUUGUCACCGUUAUGACAGUUUUGUUCUCCUACAGAAGAGAUGAAUGCAGCCAGCAAAAUGCUUUGACAACAAUUAAUUGCGCUCACGCUGUGUCAUUGCACAGAUCCGUUUCAUAACCUUUUUCUUUUCUUGGACUUGGGCUGUUCUAUCCAAAUUGCGCUCCCGGUAAAUGAAGUUUAGAUCUCAGGGCCGCCUCUGCUGCCGAGGCUUAGGCAGAGGCUGUAAUCGCUGUAGGUGUUUGAAGAGGCAUCUGGAACGUGCCCCGUGACGGGCUCGAUCCAGGUGGAGGGAAACAUGAGCAGAGCAGAGAAGUGAUUCUUCAGGACAUAACCAGGUGUUUCUAGGGAAAGAUGGGACAGGUUUUAGCUUUGUCUGUGUUAGAAGCCGGGAGCAGCCUUGUUGCCAGGGGCUCUGCCUGCAGUGCAGCUGUUUUGCACAGCUGCAUUUACAGCGGGAUGGAGCCCUAAUAUGGACACACCUUGGAUCGGGUUUUGAUUGCUGCUGGCGAUUUAGAAGUAGAUCCAGGGUCCACACCGCCACAGAACAGUACCUUCCAGGCUUCCCCUGCCCUCCCUAGGAUCAUUUCUGUGCUGGUUAAAUUCUGCCCGAUAGCUCUGGCUGCCCCAGGAGUGUCUUCCUCUGCUGUAAACUUGACCCCUUGGACACCUUGUGACACCUGCAUUUUCUUCCUUCCCAGCUGGUAGUGUCUAGAGCUGGCUCCUAGGGCUUGCGAGAGCCAGUCAUUAGAUUUUUAGGGAUUUUGCUAAAUGGUUGUCAAACAAGCCAUUAUUAAAACCGGCUAUGUAGGCUUAAGAGUAAAUUAAUUAAAUUAAAAACAAAGGUAAUAUAUAGUCCCAACUCAUUCCUUCCUAAUUAUCUUAUCACGUUUUGCUGUGAUCUGUGCUCUUGAGGUUGUCUCUGUUGUACCUGUGGUGGAGACACAGGGUAACAGGGCACUGUGCUGCACUUUCUCCCGUCUUUGUGUUGGGUGACAUUCUGUUAAUAGCUUGAAAGCGGCCGUGAUGGGCGUAUUUACUCCACAGAAAUGGGCCAGUGCUCCAGGUGAGGCCUCUCCUCCCUCCCCCUCCCCUUCUAGUGCUCAUUGCUAAACAUUUACUAGUACUCAUUGUUCAUAUUGUCCAGCACACGUUACUCCUGGGUCUGACACGCUGUAGGGCUACCCUGGGAGCAGGUGACCAGAUCGGCAGCUGGGACCUAUACCCCUGACGGCUUGGGCACCAGAACCCAAUGUUCAAGAUGCUGAAGAUGCUGCUGCCAUCAUGGCCGGACCCACCACCCAUCCACAGCAGUGACACUGGUAUUGCUGCCCUGUGAGCUUUUUGUCCCCUAGAGGAGACAGGGAAGUAGACUUGCAGUUUUAGGCUCUGUAGGGCUUGAGGGCUUGGACUUGGAGGUGAUGUAAGUGCAACAUACUUUGCCGAACAUGAACCCACUUCUGUGCUUUGACCCCAGUGCCGCUGCCCUUGAGUUAACUUGGGGACUGUCCUUCUACCUAUAGGUGGGAUCCUAUCACAGGAGGCAUCCAAGGUCCCCAUGCAGCCGGGCCCAUUGGUCUAGUCUGAAUGCUAGGGAAGUACAGUCAGCUCUGCUACAUUACUGCCUGCUGAGACGGUUUAAUAAUGAAUAAGAUAGGAGUUCCCAUUGUGGCUCGGCUCAACCAGGAUCCAUGAGGAUAUGGGUUUGACCUCUGGCCUCACUCAGUGGGUUAAAGAUCCGGUGUUGCUGUGAGCUGUGGUGUAGGUUGCAGCUGUGGUGUAGGUUGUAGUUGCAGCUCGGAUCUGGUGUUGCCGUGGCUGUAGCAUAGGCCAGGUAAUGCCAGAUCCUUAACCGCUAGGCUACCAGGGAGCUCCUGGGACAGUCUGUUUUGACCUCAGUGUUUCAACCCCUAGCUUCCAUAUGCCCCAGGUGCAGCCCUAAAAAACAAAAAACAAACAAACAAAAAACAAUGAGGAAGGUAAGGGCUGGGAGGUGCCUGGUGCUGUGUUUUGCACAUAAUGCGAGCUCAGAAACAGCCUUCUCUCUGCUGGGCUUUGCUGGCUGUUCACAGCACGGGUGUCCCCUCCUAGCCAGGUAUGGGGACCAUUCUUCCUGCGCUCUCUCCACCAGGAGCCAGUCUCCUGGCUGAGCAACCCCACCCCCAUCUCAGGGGGCAGACACACAGCUUUGGGCUUAGGGACCCAGCGGUCAGAGGACGUUGUUUUGUUUCCUGGAGUGACCACCUGACAGCCAGGGAGAGAGACUUAAAUGCCACGGCAGUGUUUCUGUUCACAUGUCAUGACAGGGGUCUCAGUAGUCAACGCUGUCCUUUUCAGAAAUGCUUGGCACGCCAGAAAAACAUCAUCUUUCUGGUGGGAAUAGUUUUUGAUAUUUAAGAGUUAAAUAUCAGUCCCCACAUGAAAUUGUAAUGGAUCAUAUCCAUCAGGCCCCCAUGCCUGAGACAGUCUGGGUUUGUUUUGUUUUUUCCUCUCUUUUUUUGGCUGGUGGCAUGUGGAGUUCCCAGGCCAGGUGUCAGAUCCGAGCCACAGUCACGACCUAAGCCACCUGUGGCAAUGCUGGAUCCUUAAGCUACUGUGCCAGGCCGGGGAUUGCACCACAGCAGGAAGUCCCAGUUUGGAUUUUGGGUUUUUGUUUUUUGUGCUUUUUUGGAGUUUGUUUGUUUGUUUGUUUGUUUACCCUUGUCUGUGGCAUACAGAAGCUCCAGGGAUUGAACCCUAGCCACAGCAGUGACAAUACUGGAUCCUUAAUUGCUAGGCCACCAGGGAGCUCCUGGGAUGGUCUCUUUUGACUGCAGUAAUGAAACCAACAGAGCAGCGCUAGAUGCCUUGGGGGAAAUUUUGUUGGUUAGUGGCCUCCUAGAACCGGUCCUGUGAUGCUCUUCCUAUUUCCCCAGAGCCGAACUGAUAGUGAGUCUGACACUGAGGUAACUUUCUGGAUUCCAUAAGGUACCGAGAUCCCACUCAGUGUAAUCUUCAGAUGGGCCAGGUCCCUAAGGGAUGGCCUGGAACCCUGCACCCUGGGCAACCAGUCUUUAAAACCAGCCGUUCUUUGUAUUAAUAUUUUGCAAUUAGAUGAAAACAGUUGUGCCACAAGAUCUAGCCCUAACCUAACAGGGUUACAAGUGCAGUGGAAAACUCAGUAAUAAAAACCAGGCAGGAGGUUCCCCUUGUGGCUCAGCGGGUUAUGAACCCCACUAGUAUCCAUGACGAUGCAGGUUGGAUCCCUGGCCUCGAUCAGUGGGUUAAGGACCCGGUGUUGCUGUGAGCUGAGGUGUAGGUCACAGAUGCGGCUCAGAUCCGUGCUGCAGCUGUAGCUGUGGCUGUGACAUAGGCUCUCAUUUGAAGCUCUGAUUCAACCCCUAGCCUGGGAACUUCCACGGUCCGCAGGUGCAGCCCUAAAAAAAAAAGAGAGAGAGAGAAGAAAUCAGCCUUCAAAGAACCAAAGGCCCCAAGAGGGCAGGAACUGGGUGGAAGCAGCUACCUCUUCCUUCGUGCUCAGCUGGCACUGUUGCUGGGAGGGUUCUGGAGCCGCUGUCGGGGGAGGACUGUUCUGUGGCCGGUACCCGUGGGAGGUGCUGGGCUGAGCGCCUUGGCCGGCUUUCCCUAACCCGCCCGGGCAGGGCUGCCACGGUUCUGAGCAGCACGAGGGAGGACAGGCUCUGUGGGAUGCAGCAGGAGAGACUCGGAGAGAAGGUGGGACAGAGCUCUCUGGGCUCCAUGGUGAUGAGGCUGUGUUACGGACUGGAAUGGGCUCCACAUACGGAACUCAGCAUUCCGCAUCAUGUGAAAAAGCUGGGCUCGCUCCAAAUUGGACAACUCGGCUAAUGAUCAUCAACCCACAUAAUCUGAAUGUAGGAAUGAACAGGAAGGGUUGAAUGCAAGAUCCCGUAGGUGGAAAUCUCUCGGGGGAUGGGCAUCUCUUUCUAAAGCUCCAGAGCAGGGCUUGGUCCUUAAGAGGCCACAGUGCAUACCUGUGGAAGUAAGUUGAGUUUGGGAUUGCUUUUGGAGUCAGAAGGAGGCAGAGAUCAGCCCUAUAGUCAGUCGGAAUCCCUGUCCUAUGAGGAAAUGUGGGAGGGAAGAGGGUUAAAACAGUGAGGCAGCUUCACACAGCCUGCAUCCUAGAAACAUCUCGCUGGGUCCCGUAGCAGGAACAUGGGCAAAGGCGAGGACAGAGUGUUUGCAGCUUGUUUAUCACAGCAGAACCUCCCUGGGCUGGCUCUCCUCCGAACCACCAAAAUGUAGACGCAAAGGAGCAAAGACGACUAGGUCUCCAGAGACACAGAGUGAUGAGCUCGGAACUCUACCGCCUCUUGUAGCCAUAACAGCUUAGAAAACCUGGGGGGAAGAAAGCCAAGCCUCUUUGACGGUUGUUUAUUGACUUGGGAGAGAGUCUGGCUCAUGGAAGCAGCUGUGCGGGAGGAACAUGCCAGAAGCGACGUGCAUUUCCCAGGGCACAUGGCAGGUGCCUGACGCCCAACCUCAGCUCAGCCUGGUGCCAUGCUUCUGGCAGAAACGGGGACUUCGUGGCUCCCACUCGGCCCCCAGUCCCCAGGAAGGUUUCCAAGCUGGGGCCAUAGGGGUAAGGGAGGGGCGGGGAGCAGGGUAAGGGUUUGGGGGAGUGAUUUUUUUUUUUUGGCAUAAUGAACCUGGGCCCAGCGCCCCCAAGACACUGCUGAUCCCAUUGCGCCACAGUGGGAACUCCAGGGGGAGAGUGAUUUUAAUGCCAAUCACUUACAGUUCGUGAACAACUUUUGAGAGGUUGGUCCCCAGGGAAGGUGGGUGGGGUGGAAGGUAGGACUGAGCUGAGUAAUGGAAGGUAAUGUGUUUGGUUUUGAUGGUUAGUAAGUCAAGGUGAUUCCAGUUCCAGGGUAAUAAGGUCUGGCUCCAUUUUCUUUUCUUUCUUUCUUUUCUAUUUUUUUGGUCUUUUUAGAGCCGCACCUGCAGCAUAUGAAGGUUCCCAGGCUAGGGGUCGAAUUGGGGCUGUUGCCACUGGCCUACACCACAGCCACAGCAACACCAGAUCCGAGCCGCGUCUGCGACCUACACCACAGAGCACGGCAACUCAGGAUCCUUAACCCACUGAGCAAGGCCAGGGAUCGAAUCUGCGUCCUCAUGGAUACCAGUCAGAUUCGUUUCCACUGAGCCAUGACGAGAACUCCAGCUGGAUCCAUUUUUGCUGCUGGAUUGCUGACAGCUUUCAAGCCUCAUCAUGCUCCCUUUCUCUUCUUCCCACACCUGGGCAAACUGAAAAGAAAGUCUGCACGCCCCCUCCCUUAAUACCAGAGGGAAGUGCCGGCCUCAUAAAACCUGGUCUGUGUGCGGGAGCUCCCCCCAGUCCCGUCUGUUAGCCACGGUAAAGGCUGAAGCCGUCGCUCCAUGCUCUCUGAAGCCAUGGCUGGACCCGCUCGGGAGCCUGCCCUGCUUUCCCCUGAAGAGACUCAUCCCGUGAGUAAGAGACCCCUUAUGCCCUCUUGGGAGGAGGCCUCAUCAACCUCGGUAUCCAAACCAGGAGUUCCCUGGUGGCUCAGCGGUUUAAAGGCUCUGGUGUUGUCACUGCUGCAGCUCAGGUACUGCCAUGGUGUGGGUUUGAUCUCUGGCCUGGGCACUUUCACAUAAUGCAAGUGAAGCAAAACCAUAAGAACAAUAAACAUCUAAGUCAAAUUUUGGGUGGGGGGGUUGUGUCGGUCUGGCUUCCACCACUCCCAGGACACCAAAACAUAUGAUAACAGAUAAGCCGUGAAUACAAUAGAAGGUUAUUUCUGGUUCAUGUCCGCCUCCAGUGCGGGGGCUCCUGGACAGACAGCCUUGCCUGAGCUCAUUCGGAGACCCAGGCCCUUUCCUUCUCUUCAUGGUCUUUAGAAUUCUCUCCAUUCAGUCAACAGACAGGAAAAGAGCAGGGAGGUUCACCUGAGAGGUUUGGAGAGGGCUCGGGCUUAGAACUGGUACCGUCACAUCCCAGCUUGCCUUUGCUUGGAACUCAAUCGUACAGCCACACCCUCCACAGGGAAGGUUAGGAAAGGUGGGCCAGGUGGGUUUCGGCGAAUGGGUGUCCGUCUCCACCACAGAUAGGCUGACUUUGAAUAGCGACUGGUCUGUGAGGUGGGAUAUUCAAAAGGCAGUGGGAUAGAGAGGUGUGCGGAGAAAGUUGCUGGGCUACACCUGUGCAUGUAGAAGUCUAAUUUCUAGGCAAUAAAAGGGAAAAGGGAAAGAAAAUGAAAAAAG
rnacentral:lncRNA from 1 species